UUCGGCAAUCGGUUGAGUAUCCUAACGGGCUUUUCAACUGAAGCCUACAAAAAAAGGAGACGUGUUAGUGGCCCGUAUCGCUGGCAUUAACGUUCCUGAC
rfam:Idiomarina baltica OS145 1099451322227, whole genome shotgun sequence.